AGCUCUCUGCAGUGGCAGUAUCAUAGCCAAUGAGGUUUAUCCAAGGCGUGAUUAUUACUAAUUGAAAAUGAGCAGUGCAAGGCAGUGGACCUUGUGAGGAGUUGAGAUAUUUUCACACACCUGGCGACAGAAGCACUAGAUUCUUCUAGAUAGCUCCGCUGAAG
rnacentral:snRNA from 1 species